rnacentral:rRNA from 1 species
UACAGAGGUGGCAAGCGUUGUUCGGAAUUACUGGGCGUAAAGGGCGCGUAGGCGGUCUUGUAAGUCCCGUGUGAAAUCCCUCGGCUCAACUGAGGAACUGCACGGGAAACUGCUUGGCUUGAGCUCGGGAGAGGGAAGCGGAAUUCCGGGUGUAGCGGUGAAAUGCGUAGAUAUCCGGAGGAACACCGGUGGCGAAGGCGGCUUCCUGGACCGACACUGACGCUGAGGCGCGAAAGCUAGGGGAGCAAACGGG